rnacentral:rRNA from 1 species
AUUGAACGCUGGCGGCAGGCUUAACACAUGCAAGUCGAGCGGAGAGAGGUAGCUUGCUACUGAUCUUAGCGGCGGACGGGUGAGUAAUGCUUAGGAAUCUGCCUAUUAGUGGGGGACAACAUUUCGAAAGGAAUGCUAAUACCGCAUACGUCCUACGGGAGAAAGCAGGGGAUCUUCGGACCUUGCGCUAAUAGAUGAGCCUAAGUCGGAUUAGCUAGUUGGUGGGGUAAAGGCCUACCAAGGCGACGAUCUGUAGCGGGUCUGAGAGGAUGGUCCGCCACACUGGGACUGAGACACGGCCCAGACUCCUACGGGAGGCAGCAGUGGGGAAUAUUGGACAAUGGGCGCAAGCCUGAUCCAGCCAUGCCGCGUGUGUGAAGAAGGCCUUAUGGUUGUAAAGCACUUUGAGCGAGGAGGAGGCUACUUUAGAUAAUACCUAGAGAUAGUGGACGUUACUCGCAGAAUAAGCACCGGCUAACUCUGUGCCAGCCGCCGCCGUAAUAC